rnacentral:rRNA from 1 species
GUCGAGCGGACAGUAUGGGAGCUUGCUCCCUGAUGUUAGCGGCGGACGGGUGAGUAACACGUGGGUAACCUGCCUGUAAGACUGGGAUAACUCCGGGAAACCGGGGCUAAUACCGGAUGGUUGUUUGAACCGCAUGGUUCAAACAUAAAAGGUGGCUUCGGCUACCACUUACAGAUGGACCCGCGGCGCAUUAGCUAGUUGGUGAGGUAACGGCUCACCAAGGCAACGAUGCGUAGCCGACCUGAGAGGGUGAUCGGCCACACUGGGACUGAGACACGGCCCAGACUCCUACGGGAGGCAGCAGUAGGGAAUCUUCCGCAAUGGACGAAAGUCUGACGGAGCAACGCCGCGUGAGUGAUGAAGGUUUUCGGAUCGUAAAGCUCUGUUGUUAGGGAAGAACAAGUACCGUUCGAAUAGGGCGGUACCUUGACGGUACCUAACCAGAAAGCCACGGCUAACUACGUGCCAGCAGCCGCGGUAAUACGUAGGUGGCAAGCGUUGUCCGGAAUUAUUGGGCGUAAAGGGCUCGCAGGCGGUUUCUUAAGUCUGAUGUGAAAGCCCCCGGCUCAACCGGGGAGGGUCAUUGGAAACUGGGGAACUUGAGUGCAGAAGAGGAGAGUGGAAUUCCACGUGUAGCGGUGAAAUGCGUAGAGAUGUGGAGGAACACCAGUGGCGAAGGCGACUCUCUGGUCUGUAACUGACGCUGAGGAGCGAAAGCGUGGGGAGCGAACAGGAUUAGAUACCCUGGUAGUCCACGCCGUAAACGAUGAGUGCUAAGUGUUAGGGGGUUUCCGCCCCUUAGUGCUGCAGCU